rnacentral:lncRNA from 1 species
AUCUUUGCUUUCUCAGACACCAUGUUCGCCACCUUCUCUUUUUUUGUCAUCUACUUCUCUUUUUUUACCAUCCACUUCUCCUUAAUUCUAACUUCCACCAACGCAAGGACAAUUGGUGGUAAGUUUUGUAAAAUGCACAAAAACCUAUGCAUAUACGCUCCUCAAAAAUCCUGCUACUUUUUCUUAAUCCAACAAACAUCUAAUCAAAUCGGCUCCAAAUUAGUCACAAUAAUACACUCCAAUGGUGGCAACUCAUCUUUGUACCUUACAUUGUAUUUUUUCUCUUCCCUAUUCAACUGCCUCUUAGUUUUCUCAAUCGCCAUUGUAUUCUAAGACAAGUAAGCACUCACAACUAAUCUCUCAAAACAUACAUACACAAUUGCUUACACAAAAAAAAACAUGAUGCUUGUCAAGAGCCCCCCUCCUACUUCUUACUAUGUUCCAAUCAAUUGGAUCGACUCCCUCUUAUUUCCCACAAUUUGUCAUGAUAAAGUACUCUACUAAAUAGGUCUAACAACCAGUCUUUACUACCGCUG